CCUACGGGAGGCAGCAGUGGGGAAUAUUGCACAAUGGGCGCAAGCCUGAUGCAGCCAUGCCGCGUGUGUGAAGAAGGCCUUCGGGUUGUAAAGCACUUUCAGCGGGGAGGAAGGCGUUAAGGUUAAUAACCUUGUCGAUUGACGUUACCCGCAGAAGAAGCACCGGCUAACUCCGUGCCAGCAGCCGCGGUAAUACGGGGGGUGCAAGCGUUAAUCGGAAUUACUGGGCGUAAAGCGCACGCAGGGGGUCUGUCAAGUCGGAUGUGAAAUCCCCGGGCUCAACCUGGGAACUGCAUUCGAAACUGGCAGGCUAGAGUCUUGUAGAGGGGGGUAGAAUUCCAGGUGUAGCGGUGAAAUGCGUAGAGAUCUGGAGGAAUACCGGUGGCGAAGGCGGCCCCCUGGACAAAGACUGACGCUCAGGUGCGAAAGCGUGGGGAGCAAACAGGAUUAGAUACCCUGGUAGUC
rnacentral:rRNA from 1 species